AUGAAUGCUGGCGGCGUGCCUAAUACAUGCAAGUCGAGCGGUAACAGGGCUUCACGUUCCUGACACACUGGCCAACGAGCAAGUGGAGAGAUUCGAGGGAACAGUGAAGCUGCUGACGAGCGGCGGACGGCUGAGUAACGCGUGGGAACGGACCCCAAACUGAGGGAUAACGCACCGAAAGGUGUGCUAAUACCGCAUGUGAUCUUCGGAUUAAAGUCUUCGGACGGUUUGGGACUGGCCUGCGUACGAUUAGAUAGUUGGCGGGGUAAUAGCCCACCAAGUCGACGAUCGUUAGAUGGUUUGAGAAGAUGAUCAUCCAGACUGGGACUGAGACACGGCCCAGACUCCUACGGGAGGCAGCAGUAGGGAAUCUUUCACAAUGGGCGAAAGCCUGAUGGAGCAACGCCGCGUGCAGGAUGACGGCCUUCGGGUUGUAAACUGCUUUUAUAAGCGAGAAAUAUGAUGGUAACUUAUGAAUAAGGACCGGCUAACUACGUGCCAGCCGCCGC
rnacentral:rRNA from 1 species